UCAACCUAGUACGAGAGGAACCGUU
rnacentral:snRNA from 1 species